rnacentral:rRNA from 1 species
GGUUAAGCGACUAAGCGUACACGGUGGAUGCCCUGGCAGUCAGAGGCGAUGAAGGGCGUGCUAAUCUGCGAUAAGCGCCGGUAAGGUGAUAUGAACCGUUAUAACCGGCGAUACCCGAAUGGGGAAACCCAGUGUGAUUCGUCACACUAUCAUUAACUGAAUCCAUAGGUUAAUGAGGCGAACCGGGGGAACUGAAACAUCUAAGUACCCCGAGGAAAAGAAAUCAACCGAGAUUCCCCCAGUAGCGGCGAGCGAACGGGGAGGAGCCCAGAGCCUGAAUCAGCAUGUGUGUUAGUGGAAGCGUCUGGAAAGGCGCGCGAUACAGGGUGACAGCCCCGUACACAAAAGCGCAUGUGCUGUGAGCUCGAUGAGUAGGGCGGGACACGUGGUAUCCUGUCUGAAUAUGGGGGGACCAUCCUCCAAGGCUAAAUACUCCUGACUGACCGAUAGUGAACCAGUACCGUGAGGGAAAGGCGAAAAGAACCCCGGCGAGGGGAGUGAAAAAGAACCUGAAACCGUGUACGUACAAGCAGUGGGAGCACAGGUUUACCUGUGUGACUGCGUACCUUUUGUAUAAUGGGUCAGCGACUUAUAUUCUGUAGCAAGGUUAACCGAAUAGGGGAGCCGGAGGGAAACCGAGUCUUAAUUGGGCGUUAAGUUGCAGGGUAUAGACCCGAAACCCGGUGAUCUAGCCAUGGGCAGGUUGAAGGUUGGGUAACACUAACUGGAGGACCGAACCGACUAAUGUUGAAAAAUUAGCGGAUGACCUGUGGCUGGGGGUGAAAGGCCAAUCAAACCGGGAGAUAGCUGGUUCUCCCCGAAAGCUAUUUAGGUAGCGCCUCGUGAAUUCAUCUCCGGGGGUAGAGCACUGUUUCGGCUAGGGGGCCAUCCCGGCUUACCAACCCGAUGCAAACUGCGAAUACCGGAGAAUGUUAUCACGGGAGACACACGGCGGGUGCUAACGUCCGUCGUGAAGAGGGAAACAACCCAGACCGCCAGCUAAGGUCCCAAAGUCAUGGUUAAGUGGGAAACGAUGUGGGAAGGCCCAGACAGCCAGGAUGUUGGCUUAGAAGCAGCCAUCAUUUAAAGAAAGCGUAAUAGCUCACUGGUCGAGUCGGCCUGCGCGGAAGAUGUAACGGGGCUAAACCAUGCACCGAAGCUGCGGCAGCGAACGUAUCACUUAAAGCGAUUCAGCGGGUUACGAUUGACGGAGCGAAGCGACGUCAAAGCGUAUACAAAGUCGAGUCGGUUUAAGGAUACGUUCGUUGGGUAGGGGAGCGUUCUGUAAGCCUGUGAAGGUGGCCUGUGAGGGUUGCUGGAGGUAUCAGAAGUGCGAAUGCUGACAUAAGUAACGAUAAAGCGGGUGAAAAGCCCGCUCGCCGGAAGACCAAGGGUUCCUGUCCAACGUUAAUCGGGGCAGGGUGAGUCGACCCCUAAGGCGAGGCCGAAAGGCGUAGUCGAUGGGAAACAGGUUAAUAUUCCUGUACUUGGUGUUACUGCGAAGGGGGGACGGAGAAGGCUAUGUUGGCCGGGCGACGGUUGUCCCGGUUUAAGCGUGUAGGCUGGUUUUCCAGGCAAAUCCGGAAAAUCAAGGCUGAGGCGUGAUGACGAGGCACUACGGUGCUGAAGCAACAAAUGCCCUGCUUCCAGGAAAAGCCUCUAAGCAUCAGGUAACAUCAAAUCGUACCCCAAACCGACACAGGUGGUCAGGUAGAGAAUACCAAGGCGCUUGAGAGAACUCGGGUGAAGGAACUAGGCAAAAUGGUGCCGUAACUUCGGGAGAAGGCACGCUGACACGUAGGUGAAGUGAUUUACUCACGGAGCUGAAGUCAGUCGAAGAUACCAGCUGGCUGCAACUGUUUAUUAAAAACACAGCACUGUGCAAACACGAAAGUGGACGUAUACGGUGUGACGCCUGCCCGGUGCCGGAAGGUUAAUUGAUGGGGUCAGCGCAAGCGAAGCUCCUGAUCGAAGCCCCGGUAAACGGCGGCCGUAACUAUAACGGUCCUAAGGUAGCGAAAUUCCUUGUCGGGUAAGUUCCGACCUGCACGAAUGGCGUAAUGAUGGCCAGGCUGUCUCCACCCGAGACUCAGUGAAAUUGAACUCGCUGUGAAGAUGCAGUGUACCCGCGGCAAGACGGAAAGACCCCGUGAACCUUUACUAUAGCUUGACACUGAACAUUGAGCCUUGAUGUGUAGGAUAGGUGGGAGGCUUUGAAGCGUGGACGCCAGUCUGCGUGGAGCCGACCUUGAAAUACCACCCUUUAAUGUUUGAUGUUCUAACGUGGACCCGUUACCCGGGUUGCGGACAGUGUCUGGUGGGUAGUUUGACUGGGGCGGUCUCCUCCUAAAGAGUAACGGAGGAGCACGAAGGUUGGCUAAUCCUGGUCGGACAUCAGGAGGUUAGUGCAAUGGCAUAAGCCAGCUUGACUGCGAGCGUGACGGCGCGAGCAGGUGCGAAAGCAGGUCAUAGUGAUCCGGUGGUUCUGAAUGGAAGGGCCAUCGCUCAACGGAUAAAAGGUACUCCGGGGAUAACAGGCUGAUACCGCCCAAGAGUUCAUAUCGACGGCGGUGUUUGGCACCUCGAUGUCGGCUCAUCACAUCCUGGGGCUGAAGUAGGUCCCAAGGGUAUGGCUGUUCGCCAUUUAAAGUGGUACGCGAGCUGGGUUUAGAACGUCGUGAGACAGUUCGGUCCCUAUCUGCCGUGGGCGCUGGAGAACUGAGGGGGGCUGCUCCUAGUACGAGAGGACCGGAGUGGACGCAUCACUGGUGUUCGGGUUGUCAUGCCAAUGGCACUGCCCGGUAGCUAAAUGCGGAAGAGAUAAGUGCUGAAAGCAUCUAAGCACGAAACUUGCCCCGAGAUGAGUUCUCCCUGAGACUUAGAGUCUCCUGAAGGAACGUUGAAGACGACGACGUUGAUAGGCCGGGUGUGUAAGCGCAGCGAUGCGUUGAGCUAACCGGUACUAAUGAACCGUGAGGCUUAACCUU